AUCAUGGUCAUCUUGUGUGCAGUUGGACUGGUCACUGUUUGUCAGUGCAGAAAGAGAGUCAAGAAGACAAGAUGUGUUAUUGAUAGAUCUAUAUACAAUUCCCAUCACAGCGAGGAGGCUAAUGCUGUUUAUCAGAACGCUCCUGAUGACAGACCCUACGCCACCAUAAAGAAAUCCAGAACCAAGUCUAAUGAUGAGAGCCAAUCAGACCCAAUCUACCAGAACCUACAGUUCAACACUACCCAGGGAGAAGCUAUAUAUGGCAAUCUAUAAAACAUAUGCAAUCCAAUAUCCUGAACCCCAAACACAUUCUACAUUA